rnacentral:rRNA from 1 species
CACGUAGGCACCAAGCGUUGUCCGGAUUUAUUGGGCGUAAAGAGCUCGUAGGCGGUUCGGUAAGUCGGGUGUGAAAACUUUGGGCUCAACUUGGAGACGCCAUUCGAUACUGCGAUGACUUGAGUCCGGUAGGGGAGUGUGGAAUUCCUGAUGUAGCGGUGAAAUGCGCAGAUAUCAGGAGGAACACCGGCGGCGAAGGCGGCACUCUGGGCCGGUACUGACACUGAGGUGCGAAAGCGUGGGGAGCAAACAGG